UCGACAGUCAACUCAUAUAUCCAUAUCAAUCAUAUAUUUUCUUUUUUCUUCUUGACAAUCCGGCGACCACUACUACGGAUCUUCCAUCACAGUGGUGAAUUCCGGCAACCAGAUCACUAUGUCCGGCGAUCAAAAAAACAAACAUGUAAUACCGCAGCUAUACUCGCUAUUUAUAUAUUAAAAUGUCGCUUGAUUCCCACCCAAGAAACGAAUUGAAAUCAAAGAAAACAAAUUGAAAACGGCGAUUGCAAAACGGAAGUCGACGAUUGGAACUACACUCGGUUCGCCGUACCCUGCCGACUCGGUUCACUGUACCCUAUCGACUCGGUUCGACGUACCCCCAUCGUUUGGAACGUUUUCGUAUUGCGUUCCAGUACGUUGUGUACCCAUACGCAAUACGCAGACUUUUGAGUGUAUUCUCAGAAUACUAUUCUGUGACUAUGUAUUAGCCAGAUGACAACUAGGAGUUAAUUUUUUUUUGGUUUGUUUGUUAAUUAUGUAUUUAGGUAAAAACCUUUUUAAUUUGU